rnacentral:rRNA from 1 species
AAUAGAUACCCCGGGUAGUCCACGCCGUAAACGAUGAGUGCUAAGUGUUAGAGGGUUUCCGCCCUUUAGUGCUGCAGCUAACGCAUUAAGCACUCCGCCUGGGGAGUACGGCCGCAAGGCUGAAACUCAAAGGAAUUGACGGGGGCCCGCACAAGCGGUGGAGCAUGUGGUUUAAUUCGAAGCAACGCGAAGAACCUUACCAGGUCUUGACAUCCUCUGCCAACCCUAGAGAUAGGGCGUUCCCCUUCGGGGGACAGAGUGACAGGUGGUGCAUGGUUGUCGUCAGCUCGUGUCGUGAGAUGUUGGGUUAAGUCCCGCAACGAGCGCAACCCUUGAUCUUAGUUGCCAGCAUUCAGUUGGGCACUCUAAGGUGACUGCCGGUGACAAACCGGAGGAAGGUGGGGAUGACGUCAAAUCAUCAUGCCCCUUAUGACCUGGGCUACACACGUGCUACAAUGGAUGGUACAAAGAGCUGCGAACCCGCGAGGGUAAGCGAAUCUCAUAAAGCCAUUCUCAGUUCGGA